rnacentral:rRNA from 1 species
UACGUAGGUGGCAAGCGUUAUCCGGAAUUAUUGGGCGUAAAGAGCGCGCAGGUGGUUAAUUAAGUCUGAUGUGAAAGCCCACGGCUUAACCGUGGAGGGUCAUUGGAAACUGGUUGACUUGAGUGCAGAAGAGGGAAGUGGAACUCCAUGUGUAGCGGUGAAAUGCGUAGAGAUAUGGAGGAACACCAGUGGCGAAGGCGGCUUCCUGGUCUGCAACUGACACUGAGGCGCGAAAGCGUGGGGAGCAAACAGG